AGCGAACGCUGGCGGCAGGCCUAACACAUGCAAGUCGAGCGCCCCGCAAGGGGAGCGGCAGACGGGAGAGUAACACGUGGGAACGUACCCUUUGGUUCGGAACAACCCAGGGAAACUUGGGCUAAUACCGAAUAAGCCCUUACGGGGAAAGAUUUAUCGCCGAAGGAUCGGCCCGCGUCUGAUUAGCUAGUUGGUGAGGUAACGGCUCACCAAGGCGACGAUCAGUAGCUGGUCUGAGAGGAUGAUCAGCCUCACUGGGACUGAGACACGGCCCAGACUCCUACGGGAGGCAGCAGUGGGGAAUAUUGGACAAUGGGCGCAAGCCUGAUCCAGCCAUGCCGCGUGGGUGAUGAAGGCCCUAGGGUUGUAAAGCCCUUUCGGCGGGGAAGAUAAUGACGGUACCCGCAGAAGAAGCCCCGGCUAACUUCGUGCCAGCAGCCGCGGUAAUACGAAGGGGGCUAGCGUUGCUCGGAAUCACUGGGCGUAAAGCGCACGUAGGCGGAUUGCUAAGUCAGGGGUGAAAUCCUGGAGCUCAACUCCAGAACUGCCUUUGAUACUGGCGACCUUGAGUCCGGGAGAGGUGAGUGGAACUGCGAGUGUAGAGGUGAAAUUCGUAGAUAUUCGCAAGAACACCAGUGGCGAAGGCGGCUCACUGGCCCGGUACUGACGCUGAGGUG
rnacentral:rRNA from 2 species